GCAAGUUCCUAUCUGUACAGAGCCUGACACGGGGCUUGAUCUCGCGAACCAUGAGAUCAUGACCUGAGCUGAAACCAAGAGUGGGACGCUUAACCGACUGAGCCACCGAGGCACCCCAACAUAAGCCUGCUUUUAAAGAUGCGUUCAACCAAUAUUAAGUCUCGGUUUUAACAUCAAAUCAAAUAAACAAAUGCAUUCUUUCCUCUCCCUCACAAAUACAGCAUUAUCCACUCAGCCAGACAUCAUACCACACACAAUAUCUGACCUAUUCACUGUGAUAAGCACAUUCACAUAGCAUGAAAUCAUUGAAAAAGGAAGGAAAAUUACCUUUGUUUGCUUUGGUGUGGGUUCAUAAGAAGUUGCUACUGCAUUCAUAGAAAUAUAUACUAUCUCUAAGCUUUGUGACAAGCUGCAACUGAGUUAGAAGGCCUUGGCAUUGACCAAACAAAAAAAAAAGACCUUUGUACAUUUUUAGGGAGGUGUUACAGUUUGCUCAUUCCCCCGGCGUGGGUGGCUCGGCUGGGAGGAGAGACUUCUCAUUUUCAAAGUAAGCUCAUGAAGUCCUGCCCCUAAGUGCUCAAGGACCUCCAGUUCUGUGUAAGAUUUAAAAUUCAUCUUGACCCUUGUGGGUAGGGAUUUUAGAUGAACGUUCACUCCUCCACACAGCCCCCGGAGCCAUGUAUUGAGGGGGAAAAUCGUUUAAAUUUGGAUUAUCUUUAUAUAGCGAUGCGCAAUUCUGAAACAUAGUCAUACUUCAUUGAGUUUAUAAAUGAAGAAACCAGAUGUACCUAGUGCCCUGUCAAACUCUGAUUUUCCCUGCUGUUUUUCAGGGUGUGUGUGUGUGUGUGUGUGUGUGUAUAAGAAGGCAACAAAGGAAAGUGAGGUGAAGUCAGAGUUUAUCUUCCUGGGGAGAUUUCAUUUCCUCUAAAUCUAUUUUUACUUGUUGGUAGACAAAUCAUACUGCUAAUAUAUAGGAGUUAGUUGGCUGGUAACGGAGUGUUGCUGUGAGCAACCAGAUUUCACAAUGCUUCAAAUCCCAAUAUGGGAAAUCCUCGGUUCCCUAACCAAUGGCUUUGGGUUAGAGAGAGAGAGAGAGAGAGUGUGUGUGUGUGUGUAUGAUUCAUGAUGACUCAGUGUCUAAGAAGGUACAAAUAUUGUAGUGAAUCUAUUUCUGGUUCUUAUGUUACCUUUCAGGAAUGGAUCCGGAAGACCUGGCUAAAAUCUUUUCAUCAUCUCCUGCCAACAUUGAGCCAUGUCCCAUGUUGGAAGAUGGAGAAACGAAAGCCUGGGGAAGUUGAGUAACUUGCCAAGGGAUGGACAGCUACGAAGGAAGAGAGCCAGGGGUCAGUCUAAUGCCAAAGACCACGUUCUUGGCACAACACGGAUGCUGUCUUGUUUCGUAAAAGGGUGGCGAUUAUAUCAUUAUCCUUCUUUUUCUAA